UACAGAGGGGGCAAGCGUUGUUCGGAAUUACUGGGCGUAAAGGGCGCGUAGGCGGCCCGCUAAGUCGAACGUGAAAUCCCCGAGCUCAACUCGGGAACUGCGUCCGAUACUGGUGGGCUUGAAUCCGGGAGAGGGAUGCGGAAUUCCAGGUGUAGCGGUGAAAUGCGUAGAUAUCGGGAGGAACACCAGUGGCGAAGGCGGCGACCUGGGCCAAUAUUGACGCUGAGGUGCGAAAGCGUGGGGAGCAAACAGG
rnacentral:rRNA from 1 species